UACACCUGUGAGCAGACCUUGAAGAAAGAUGCUUUAAUAAAAGCAUCUGUACCUAACACUUCGUCUGUCUUUAUCAAGCACGAAUAUAACAAUGACUUGUGUGAUGCAAAAAAAAAUUCCAUUGCAGUUUUGCAAAAUACACUAAUUUCGAUACUGCCAAAAAAGGCUUCUAAUCCUAGUACAAAAAUGUAAUCAAAAAAUUUGAGAGUGAACUCUCUGCUCUUCCUGUCUGACGCCUGUGAACGUGACUGAGGUGUUCAGUUUUUUGUUGCCUAGUUAUUCCUUGAGGCAGCAUCUUGUUCUUCCUGCUGGCUCGUGACGACCUGAACGCAUUGUUCCCUGUGACCACCAGAGAGCCGAGGCUUCCUGCCUGACAGCUCUGCAACCUGAAACGCUUCCUCAAGAAACAACUCACCGCUUCAAUUUGAGGCAACAGCACCAUCAGCUGCUUCACACGACACUUAUGGAGAAGUUGGUUCUCAUCCCUAGCUGGUCUGCUUGUCAGGUCAAAGAGAUGAGCAGCAAUGCAGGAAAAGACUGGAUUGUUUUUCCAACCUCUGGGGUCUUUUAAAAUAUGCUGGGCACCAAUUUGCUGGAAUGAACUGCAUUCCUCAGCAUUCAUAGUGCUGGAGACAUUACUGUUAGAAAUGCAUUCAUAUCUGUGCCCCUCACUCCCGUUUCUCUCCAUUCGGCUCAAGCAGAACAGACUGCAGGACCCCCGGUCUUUACAAAGAGUCACAUUCAUUCGUUUGUCUCACUGUGUCAGUGAUUUGAUCAACUAUCACAACCUUGUGAAUAGUCUGUGGUGAAUUUGCAGUGUAAAAAGGGAAAAAUAUAUUCAAUACUUUCACAAGGUUAUCUGUUUUGUUGACAAUUUGGUCAGUCAAUCUUAGACAGAUAUGAAAGCUACCGUAACCUACUGAAUAAAAUAAUUUAUUUGUGAGAAUUUAGGCACAAGAUAAAACCAGGUUAUACUGUUUGUUUUCAUUGUGUGGAAAACAUUAAACCAACUCAAAUACUCAGUUUUUAGUUUUUAUUGAUCUAAUACACAAAAAAAUUCCAAUUCACCAUACAAACGCCGUAUGUUCUGCAGAUAAUUAAAGCAACUCCUUGUUAACAGGCACAAGGCAACAAUUCAAACAUUUCAGACAUUUUCACAGAACAAAAAUACAUUUGCUUAUUUCUGGUCAUCUAUAGGUUCUGCAUUAAUCUAUGUUGGUUUCUCAUUUCAGGCAUUCGUUCUUUUUCAGGUUUAUUUCUUUAAUAUAAUUUAAUAAAUUCUAUUUUCAUUAAGUCAUUAAAUCCUUGUGAGGUCUCCUUUAAUGUUACCCCAUCAAACGAGCCUCGUGGACGYAACAAAGGCAAKACAGAGAACUGAUUACUGAAAAGAUSRUUUCCUAUUCAUUCACAAACAUGUAUUGGAUAAGCAAUAAAAAAAUACAAUGGAUUUCUUCCUAGAAAUGGGAAUACAAAGUUAAAACAAACACAAGUAUAUUGCCAUCAUAAAACCCCCCUUCAAACUUGGGUCUGCUCUUUAAAAGUGUCAACACCUCAAAGUAUUUGAGCACUAAAACAGCAAG